rnacentral:rRNA from 1 species
AAAUUGAAGAGUUUGAUCAUGGCUCAGAUUGAACGUUGGCGGCAGGCUUAACACAUGCAAGUCGAACGAGAAAGCGCCUUCGGGUGCGAGUAAAGUGGCGGACGGGUGAGUAACGCGUAGGAACCUGCCCGGCAGAAGGGGACAACUCGAGGAAACUCGAGCUAAUACCGUAUGACAUCUCUCGUCUUCGCGACGAAGGAUCAAAGGGGGCCUAUCCUUGGAAGCUCCCGCUGUCGGAGGGGCCUGCGUUGGAUUAGCUUGUUGGUGGGGUAAUGGCUCACCAAGGCUACGAUCCAUAGCUGGUCUGAGAGGACGAUCAGCC